CAUGCAGUCGAACGGUAACAUUUCUAGCUUGCUAGAAGAUGACGAGUGGCGGACGGGUGAGUAAUGCUUGGGAACUUGCCUUUGCGAGGGGGAUAACAGUUGGAAACGACUGCUAAUACCGCAUAAUGUCUUCGGACCAAACGGGGCUUCGGCUCCGGCGCAAAGAGAGGCCCAAGUGAGAUUAGCUAGUUGGUAAAGUAACGGCUUACCAAGGCGACGAUCUCUAGCUGUUCUGAGAGGAAGAUCAGCCACACUGGGACUGAGACACGGCCCAGACUCCUACGGGAGGCAGCAGUGGGGAAUAUUGCACAAUGGGGGAAACCCUGAUGCAGCCAUGCCGCGUGUGUGAAGAAGGCCUUCGGGUUGUAAAGCACUUUCAGUUGUGAGGAAAAGUUAGUAGUUAAUACCUGCUAGCCGUGACGUUAACAACAGAAGAAGCACCGGCUAACUCCGUGCCAGCAGCCGCGGUAAUACGGAGGGUGCGAGCGUUAAUCGGAAUUACUGGGCGUAAAGCGCACGCAGGCGGUUUGUUAAGCUAGAUGUGAAAGCCCCGGGCUC
rnacentral:rRNA from 1 species